rnacentral:rRNA from 1 species
GAUUUCUGGCUUGAAACAUUUGGCCGGCCACGGUUUCGUGUGUUAGUGCUUUGUGUUCUGGCCAUCCUUCCAAUCGCUGCGCGCCUUUCUUCAUUGGUUGGUGAGUGGUAUUGGAUCUUUUACUUUGAAAAAAUUAGAGUGUUUCAAGCAGGCUUUAUGCUAUGAAUACAUUAGCAUGGGAUAAUAAUUUAGGACUCCCGUUCUAUUUUGUUGGUUUCUAGGACUGAAGUAAUGAUUGAUAGGGAUAGUUGGGGGUGCUAGUAUUCAGCGGCCAGAGGUGAAAUUCUCGGAUUCGCUGAAGACUAACUUAUGCGAAAGCAUU